rnacentral:rRNA from 1 species
GACGAACGCUGGCGGCGUGCCUAAUACAUGCAAGUAGAACGCACAGUUUAUACCGUAGCUUGCUACACCAUAGACUGUGAGUUGCGAACGGGUGAGUAACGCGUAGGUAACCUGCCUGGUAGCGGGGGAUAACUAUUGGAAACGAUAGCUAAUACCGCAUAAUAUUGAUUAUUGCAUGAUAAUUGAUUGAAAGAUGCUAUUGCAUCACUACCAGAUGGACCUGCGUUGUAUUAGCUAGUAGGUGAGGUAACAGCUCACCUAGGCGACGAUACAUAGCCGACCUGAGAGGGUGAUCGGCCACACUGGGACUGAGACACGGCCCAGACUCCUACGGGAGGCAGCAGUAGGGAAUCUUCGGCAAUGGACGAAAGUCUGACCGAGCAACGCCGCGUGAGGGAAGAAGGUUUUCGGAUCGUAAAGCUCUGUUGUAAGAGAAGAACGGGUGUGAGAGUGGAAAGUUCACACUGUGACGGUAUCUUACCAGAAAGGGACGGCUAACUACGUG